rnacentral:lncRNA from 1 species
GGGCCCCCUUCUAUGUCUUAGUACAUUUCGAUUCUUGCAUCUUGUAUUAUUGCAUUAUAGGAUGAUUGUGCAUUGCCUUUCCUUAUGCUUUCCUUGAUGAUAUCGUAGCAUGUAUUGGAUACUUGAUAUAGUGGAUCGAUAAGGAUUGGGUCGAGACUUGUGAAUCCUAUAGUGCAGAGAAAGAGAUGGGCUCAAUGGUUGGUCUAAUGUUAAACAAAGAACGAGUGGCAUCUAGUCGAUAGUAAACAAUGGACGAGUGGCAAUCUAGUUGAUAGUGUAUAAGAAAACAAGUGAUACAUGUCGAACUUGAUAUAUAUACGACGCCUAUGGACCACAUGAUGGUAGUAACCCUAGAAUGGAGAGACUUGGAUUAUGCUCACGGUCUGUUUUAGCUUGUGAUGGAAGCCCCACACAAGAAGUGCGCUCCGGAGUUGGUCACGUGGGAUUGCCUAUUUUGGGUCCCAAGGGAUUGCCUAUUUUGGGUCCCGGCAGACGGUCUCGGUUCGUAGUGCGAGUUGACCCUCCCUACCUUCGAGAUGGCUAGUGAGCA